GGUGACCUCGAACCAGUUAUUAUGUGUAGUAAGAAAUUGGAUUCCUUUGCAUGGAGAAUUUCAGUGGCUAGAGUUCACGGCUCCUCGAUUGAUUCAGAUUCAGUUGUAUUAAGUCUGCCCACUAAUAAUGUAGAGCAAAAUAGGUAUUGUGGUGUUUGCAGAGCUGACCCGAGCUGAACCCAAGACAGAAGUGGAGUCCUGCUGGGAACGAGCUGAAACAUUGGACAUGGACUAGAUGAUUUAAAAAUGAAAUGUAUUAAUGAGAUGAUAUGUGCUGUAACCAUUUGUAAUGUUUGAAUAAUCUUUAGUCUGUAACAAAUACUGUAAAGUACUCUCUCUGUAAGACCGUAUAACAGAAUCUGGUACAACUUGAUACACUGGCCGGCCUUGAGCAGUCUCUUAUUAAAAUUGGCACGAUUCCCAGAAUUUAGUGCUGAAAUCUCUGUUAAGACUUUUCAGCUUGAAUACAGAAUAAUGCUAUACUAAUAGAUGUAUGUUAAUAUGUUUGCUUUAAAUGGUAUAGAUUGUUGUGGUAACAUAUAAUUAUAGGUAGUGAUAAUUAUUGUUAGUAUGAAAUACUAUGAACAAUUUUUAUGUAUAAGAUCAUAUGAUUCAGUUUGCUUAAUAUGAUAGCAUACCUGAAGCUGUUUUCUAUCAAGAUGAGCAUAGUUAAAAACUGAGUCCUAAUUCAAUGAAAAGAAUUACUGUGUGCUUACAUUCAAGAAUUAUAACUUCUGAAUAUAAAGGGAAAAGGAGUUAGGAGUAUUCUUAAGGGAAAGAGAAAAACAGAAAAGGAUUAAAAGACCUCGCUUUGAGUAGGUUUCUGCUUGUAAUUCAGUUUUAAAAUAAGUAGGUGAGUAAGAACAACCUAGAGUAAAAGCAGACUCUAACUUAAGAAAAUAAGCAUUGUCAGAAGAUACACCACAACUAGAGAGCAGAAAAAUUGAAUAAAAUCCUAUUGUAAUAUUGCGGAUAUACUGCUGCUAGCAGAAAGUAAUAAGGUUAGCAGCCAUACGCUAUAAGAAGUAAUGUACUAGUUUGACUCUGAAGUUAAAAGACGCAGCAUAAAAAGAUGUUGUGUUUAAAAUACAAAAUAAAAGGAUUGAAUAAAUAAUGAAGAAUAAAAGCAGGAGAUAGGUUUUAGGAGAGUAAACUCUAUGUGACCUGUCUUCUUGAACUCUCUAUCAGCCUGCCCUUGGAGAAAUUAAUAUUAGCUGCUGGAAGGCCUCUUUGGUGGGAAGAAGCCGGAAAUUUUUUUAUCAGAAGGCUUAUAGUAUCGGGCCGGACUGCAAAAAUAGGGAGUUAGAACGGAUGGUCUUAGCAACUAAGAUAGUUAGUUGCCGGGCGGAACAAGCACGUAAGAUACAGGUGUAAGGAAAGUUCUAGGGAACAUUAAUCACUAUUAAACUUGGCAAGAAAAGAGAUGACAUGAGGGAAUAUAUUUUUGAAAGCCAAGUUCAUGUAAUCAAUUAUAAUCAUUAUAACUAUAACUGCUAUAUUAUGAUAUAACUAUUGGUGUUGCAUAUAUUCAAAAAACACCACUUUUCUUAUAUUGGUGUUGCAUAUAUUUAAAACACCACUCCUUUUUAUAAUGCACCCAUAUUAAGUAGUGAAUCAAGGUUGCAGGGAUUUUGUGAACUCUGCUUCACCUAACUUUUCAGAUGAAGGAGGGGGGCCAAGAAUGAGUGGAUGAGAACAUGGGCUAGUGUUGAUUUGUUGGCAUAUGACUUUAAUUGAGUCUGAGGAGUUGGUUGAAUUCUUUAGAGAUUACUGUUUGCCAAGAGAUAAGGACUGUCAAUAUAGAUUGAUGACUGGAUCUAAUUGGGGCUUCCCAUUGCUUUCAAUGGGACGAAAAUUGUAUAAAAACCCUGGGCUGAUCACACUAGGGCACCACAAUCAAGCUGGGCAGAGCUAUGUGGUCCAUCCUUUGCAGAUCUCUACAGAACAGUCCUUCUCUUUUGUUCACGCUACUCUUCCUUAUAAUAGGAGGUAAGCAUAUUAAUGGUAUUAUUGUAUCUCGCAUUUAUUGGUUAUAUUGCUAUGAGGUUUUGAAACAAUGUUUUAGUAUUAAGAGUGUUAUAUUGAAUGUGCUAAAACAUAGCAGUGGGUGCUUGUAGGCAUUGUGCUUAACCAGCCUGAGGGCUGCACUGAAUACAUAUAAUUGUAUUAUGUUAUUGAAGUAUUAAAUGCUGAAGCUUGUAAUAAAUUUAGGAUUGCUAAUUAUUGUUACAUGUUUUCGGGUUUUGGUAGUAUGCGCAAACUACUAAACCAAUAUUAAAGGCAUUUUAAUAAAACGAAGGAGCGCUGAUGUUGCUCUGAUUCGUAAAACUUUGAAUAAAUGAGUCUGAGUGAUUUUCUUGAUUAAAUAAAAAGGUUUUAAGGACACACCGCUCGUCCAGUGCUCGAACAUAAACCACUAGGAGUUUUAAACAUCUCUGUCCUCCUUAACGUCUCCCCUGAGUUAAGAGUGUGUGCAGAGCAAAUAAUAUAAUAAAAGAGAACGUGAAAAGUGAAAACGUGAUAGUUGGCGCCCGACCGUGGGGCGAGCGAAAUAAACGGUCCGCAAAAUAAACCUAAUCUAGAAAACACUAAUAAAUACAAUCGACCAAUAAUAAUUAAAAUUGUUUAACAUUUUGAAACGCGUUACUGAAAUAGUUUAAACAUUUUAAUUCCAUCACGUAAUUUUGUAAAGUGAAUUGCGUAUGGGCAUUUAAACUCCGGAAACCCGACGUUGUGACGCAACCCCAGAUGCGGCAACCUCACUUGUGCACAAAUCUUCCGGUAAAAUAAAGUCUAGCAAAAGAGGGCGUUGAACGGGCUAUUAUAAAUAGUAAAAACGGGCUACUCUAAAUGGCAUCUGCAGGGAGAUUCAUAGAAAAACUCCUUGAAAUAAUUUUGUGGAAGAAAGGGUUUAUGCAGUUAUAAACAGAUUGUCUCAGACUAUAGACAGAGAAAUGAAUAUUGAUGAUAAUCUGGAAAGCGCUUCGGAUAGGGGGGAACAGGAUGAGAUGGAGUCUCAACUUUCCUCCUCUGAGUCAGAAAUGGGGGAAGAAACUGCUAACAAAAAACGAGUAUGUGAAAGUAAGCUGUUACUUGCCUUAAUGUGUCCAAAGAAAGAAAGAAAAAUAAGUUAAGCAAGCAAAGGAAUAAAUCUGAUGGAAAAAAAAACUGCAAGAGAAAACUCAGUAAAACUGCCUUGGGAAGCUGCAACUAGCAGAGAGGAGAGAGCACCGGCUCCACCCACUAAUUCAUGUGACUUGCGAUCAUCAGGUCCUAAAGGGAUACGAGCACAGAAAGUAACAAACUCUGAAAAACUUAGAGCGCUGAAUACGUUAGACAACCAAUGUAUAAUUUAUUGGCUGUUACAGCUAAUGUCUGCCAAGAAAUAAAUAAUAAUGAAAACCUCUUACAUGGAGGAGGUGUGGUUAGAGCCCUGUCCGAUGCAAGCGGUUUAAUAAUUCAGGAAGAAAGUUACGAUUGGAUUUAAAAAAAAAAAAAGGUAAAGUUAGAAGUGAGGAAUGGAUGUAACUGCAACCAGUUUGUUACAUGCAUUUCACUUGCUAUGAUUCAUGUAGUCCUAGAGAAGGAAUGCUGAAUUCAGUUAAAAAAUUUAAGUGAAGCAGUGUUAGCAGCCUUGAUACAGCCUCUGCUUGUAAUGCAAGUGAGGAAUGUUUAGUUCACCCAGAGGGGCGGUAACCUGCAGGGAGAGAGAGAGAGAGCUCACAGACUGCACCAGCUUGUGAGUAUAAGGAGGGGGUCUUGGAGAGCCCAGAGAUCGGGAAUGCACAGAGAGCAGACCUAAAAUAACAUAGAGUGAAAGACAUAGCAGACGUUCGAUUUUUAACCCAUUAGCAGCAGAAGCAGUUGAGAUUAUGAUAGAGAAGGUGGAAGAUUAUUUGAAAUAUUGGAAUUAAUAAAGAUAAUGAUACAGAAACAAAUAAUUAUAUUACAUUAAAUAAUUUAAUACAUUUAAAUAAAAUAAAUAAAUAAAUAAAUAAAUUAGAAUUAAAUUAAAUUAGAUUAAGCAUCAGGGUAUGAAGCUGAGUACAGCCUUUAAAGAAAAAGUUAGCAGUAUUUCUUCCCCAAAAACAAUAAAGCAACUCCAAGCCGUGAUGGGGUUGUUUAAUUAUGCGAGAAACACUGUAACAGGAUACUUAGUCCUGGCAGCCCCGUUGUAUCGAAAGAUGUCCCACGGUAACGCUGAGGGAAUAGGGGUCUCGUGGACAGAAGAAGACGAACUUAGGCUAACGCAGCUUAAGACGUUAAUACAAGAAGCGCAGGAUAUUACCACUCGAGUCAGUGGUAAGUCCUUGGAAGCCUACUUCCAUAUUGGUGAACAAGCUGCAGUAGGGGUGAAAAAUAAAGGGGAUGAAAUGCCAAUAAAGAAUUGGGGUUUCAAUUUCACCUCACAGAACAGCAGUUUUGUUAUGAAAAAAGGAUGCUAACCGCUCUUGCUAGAGUAGCACCGUCCUUAUUCAACCUAGCUCAGGAUGAUCUUAUUGAAGUUUUCAGUGAUACCCCAGGACUAGCUACCCUAACAAAGGGAUCACUGAUAAACACGAAAGCGCUUAAAUUACGGUGGGAUAGAUGGGUCACUUUGCUAGCAGACCCUAGAAUAAUCUUCACUACCGUCUCCGAGCUAGCCCCUAACCUCAGAAGUAAAUUCCUUCACCUUCCCCCGUUUGAAAAAUGGGAGGAAUGAACUGCCCCAGCAGGACAGCCGUUUGUGCCUGACUGGUUAAUCUUCUCAGAUGGAUCCAUUCCAGUUUGUGGAAUAGGGAUAUCCGUCGGAAGAAAUCGGAAUGGAAUUUAUGAGGAAACGUAACACCACUCUGAAGUGGUAUCAGGUCGAUCCGCUUAAGUAGCAGAAGCUAAAGCCCUAUUGAAGGGAUUACAAAUGGCUCAAAGUUUGGGGACGCCCAGUGAGACCAUAUUAUUGAUUACAGACUCAAGUUACUGCACCCAAGCAUUCAAUAUUCACUCUCUAACAUGGAAAGAGAAUGGUUACUCUGACCAUAAGGGUAAGCCCAUAGCGCAUGCCAAUAUAUGGAAAGAGAUUGAAACAUUGAGGAGCAAUAGGAUCAGUGUUCAGCAUGCAGCAGGUCACCAGAAGGGGAAAGAAGUAACUAUAGUGGGAAAUAAUCGCGCUGAUGAAUUAGCGCAAGGAGCAGUACAAGGUCAUCAGCAUCAGCAACAAAACUGAUCAAUUUGCUAGCUGAUAGCCAGCUGUUGUCUGAGUUCCCCCUGGACGGGGACAGAUACCAGUUGGAACAAGGGAUUCUAUACCGACUGUUUAAAACAAGCAAAAGGAUAGUACCCCCUAAAGCAAGUCGACAAGCCAUAGUACUGGCAGCUCAUCAAGGAGCAGGUUCCUUGCAUAGUGCACUUAAGGGAACUUUGCAUCAGUUGCGAGAUUAAUGGUGGACUGAACUGCAUGCUGAAACUGUGGAGAUCUGCAGAAGAUGUUUGCCCUGCCUACAACACAUUCAGAAACCAAAAGGAACAAAGUAAGAAUUGCACCUGGAAAUAUUUCAUUAAAUAUUUUCAUGAAUGAGUUUUUAAGAAUCAAAUACAUAUUUGAAUUACAGACUGCAUGAAAAAUCAAAGACUUUAUUCAUUUGACAAUGAUUAAGGAAAAGAAAAUAUACAGUAUACUAUUUAACUCUAGAGUAUACAUUAAAUAAAUGUAAUUCUGUUUAUAACAAUUUUAAAAGAAAAAUGUUAUUGCAGUUUACUAGUAAUUCUGUAAUGGUUAUAAGUAAAGCCUAGCAUGGUUUCGUCUUAUUUUAUUACAUGAAUUGGAAAAACAAAAAUAAGAAUAAAACUUAAAAAUAAAUAAUUAGUAAUAAUACAUUUGAACAGUAAUGAAAGUAAAAACUUUUAUAUUAUAAAUGUGAUUAUUUUACUGGUUACAUCGUUAAAAUAAAACUAAAGCUUUUAUGUUUUGUUUUUGCAAAAGGAAUGUAACAGAAUUGUUGUCUUGACUUGACAGGUAAAGCAAAACCAUGCAAUGAGAAUUAUAGGGAUUUAAGAGAGCAGUUUGGAAAGUACAAAAUGCUUAUGACUGUUUAUUGAGAAAGUGUGUUAAUAUACACUUUGCUUUUGAAACACAGAAGGCAGCUUUUGUAUUGCAGAACUAUUGAAAAAAAGUACAAUGAAUAUUUUUUUCUUUUAACACUUUCUUAAAUUCAGUUUUGAUGUGCUCUGGGUGUUUUUGACAAAUGGAAAAGAUAAGAAGCUUGGUCUUUGUGUCUUAAAUAUAUACUAACUUUUGUAAGUCUGUAACAAGAACUGAAAGGAGUGAACCUUGCUUGGAAACCAUGACAACACUGAUAAACAAGUCAGCUGGGAGCCACUUUAACUCUUUAGGUGCAGGUAUAGUGGAAGAAGUUAAUAGGUAUGCUAUUGCAAGCAAUGAAAUGUUAUACGUUUGAAAAAAUAACUUUUAGCCUGUCUUGGUUUUAGUGAUUAUAUAUAAUUGAUUAACAACUAUGGGUUUUUGUAACAUCAGUUGAUAAAAUAACAUUAAGAAAUGUGGAAGUUUAUUCUUUAAGUCUCGGUGAUAUAUUCAUUUUAACAGAUAUAUCUGCUUGUAAUAAGACAAAGAAAAACUUGCACUCAUAUUUCAAUAGAGACCUUGUGAAUAAAUAAUCAAACGAUGAAACAGGUCAUUGAAGGAGAAGCAAGCGCUUUUUUCUCUGUUACGAGCUGAUUUCCAAGAGAAUAAUAAUAAUAAUAAAAAUACAUUUAAAAAUUAUAAUAUAAAAUAAAAUAAAUAAGCAAGAACCCAUAGCAUAAGCAUUGGAAAUUGCUGAACAGGUUCCUUAUGACCCGUGAUUUAUAGGGAUUCAUUUACAUAGGAUGAUAUUUAAAUACUUUUCCAGCAGACCCUACUGUAUAGACAGACAUAUAUUUAUGAGCAGGGAAUGACAAACAUCCAUUUCAUGAAGCAGCAGGGAUUCUGGAAACUGUUUGAAAUAUUUAAUAUAACAAGAAUAAUGAGAAUUUUAAAAAAACAUGUGAACAAUGUUGUUAUACUGCACCUCGGCUUUCCUCUGUUCGUGUUCUUUAUGAGGAGCAGGAGCCGGUGUUUGAAUCUGAGUCUCUCGAGGAACCUGAAGGGGGAUCUGUCACGGGUGACCUCGAACCAGUUAUUAUGUGUAGUAAGAAAUUGGAUUCCUUUGCAUGGAGAAUUUCAGUGGCUAGAGUUCACGGCUCCUCGAUUGAUUCAGAUUCAGUUGUAUUAAGUCUGCCCACUAAUAAUGUAGAGCAAAAUAGGUAUUGUGGUGUUUGCAGAGCCGACCCGAGCUGAACCCAAGACAGAAGUGGAGUCCUGCUGGGAACGAGCUGAAACAUUGGACAUGGACUGGAUGAUUUAAAAAUGAAAUGUAUUAAUGAGAUGAUAUGUGCUGUAACCAUUUGUAAUGUUUGAAUAAUCUUUAGUCUGUAACAAAUACUGUAAAGUACUCUCUCUGUAAGACCGUAUAACAGAAUCUGGUACAACUUGAUACACUGGCCGGCCUUGAGCAGUCUCUUAUUAAAAUUGGCACGAUUCCCAGAAUUUAGUGCUGAAAUCUCUGUUAAGACUUUUCAGCUUGAAUACAGAAUAAUGCUAUACUAAUAGAUGUAUGUUAAUAUGUUUGCUUUAAAUGGUAUAGAUUGUUGUGGUAACAUAUAAUUAUAGGUAGUGAUAAUUAUUGUUAGUAUGAAAUACUAUGAACAAUUUUUAUGUAUAAGAUCAUAUGAUUCAGUUUGCUUAAUAUGAUAGCAUACCUGAAGCUGUUUUCUAUCAAGAUGAGCAUAGUUAAAAACUGAGUCCUAAUUCAAUGAAAAGAAUUACUGUGUGCUUACAUUCAAGAAUUAUAACUUCUGAAUAUAAAGGGAAAAGGAGUUAGGAGUAUUCUUAAGGGAAAGAGAAAAACAGAAAAGGAUUAAAAGACCUCGCUUUGAGUAGGUUUCUGCUUGUAAUUCAGUUUUAAAAUAAGUAGGUGAGUAAGAACAACCUAGAGUAAAAGCAGACUCUAACUUAAGAAAAUAAGCAUUGUCAGAAGAUACACCACAACUAGAGAGCAGAAAAAUUGAAUAAAAUCCUAUUGUAAUAUUGCGGAUAUACUGCUGCUAGCAGAAAGUAAUAAGGUUAGCAGCCAUACGCUAUAAGAAGUAAUGUACUAGUUUGACUCUGAAGUUAAAAGACGCAGCAUAAAAAGAUGUUGUGUUUAAAAUACAAAAUAAAAGGAUUGAAUAAAUAAUGAAGAAUAAAAGCAGGAGAUAGGUUUUAGGAGAGUAAACUCUAUGUGACCUGUCUUCUUGAACUCUCUAUCAGCCUGCCCUUGGAGAAAUUAAUAUUAGCUGCUGGAAGGCCUCUUUGGUGGGAAGAAGCCGGAAAUUUUUUUAUCAGAAGGCUUAUAGUAUCGGGCCGGACUGCAAAAAUAGGGAGUUAGAACGGAUGGUCUUAGCAACUAAGAUAGUUAGUUGCCGGGCGGAACAAGCACGUAAGAUACAGGUGUAAGGAAAGUUCUAGGGAACAUUAAUCACUAUUAAACUUGGCAAGAAAAGAGAUGACAUGAGGGAAUAUAUUUUUGAAAGCCAAGUUCAUGUAAUCAAUUAUAAUCAUUAUAACUAUAACUGCUAUAUUAUGAUAUAACUAUUGGUGUUGCAUAUAUUCAAAAAACACCACUUUUCUUAUAUUGGUGUUGCAUAUAUUUAAAACACCACUCCUUUUUAUAAUGCACCCAUAUUAAGUAGUGAAUCAAGGUUGCAGGGAUUUUGUGAACUCUGCUUCACCUAACUUUUCAGAUGAAGGAGGGGGGCCAAGAAUGAGUGGAUGAGAACAUGGGCUAGUGUUGAUUUGUUGGCAUAUGACUUUAAUUGAGUCUGAGGAGUUGGUUGAAUUCUUUAGAGAUUACUGUUUGCCAAGAGAUAAGGACUGUCAAUAUAGAUUGAUGACUGGAUCUAAUUGGGGCUUCCCAUUGCUUUCAAUGGGACGAAAAUUGUAUAAAAACCCUGGGCUGAUCACACUAGGGCACCACAAUCAAGCUGGGCAGAGCUAUGUGGUCCAUCCUUUGCAGAUCUCUACAGAACAGUCCUUCUCUUUUGUUCACGCUACUCUUCCUUAUAAUAGGAGGUAAGCAUAUUAAUGGUAUUAUUGUAUCUCACAUUUAUUGGUUAUAUUGCUAUGAGGUUUUGAAACAAUGUUUUAGUAUUAAGAGUGUUAUAUUGAAUGUGCUAAAACAUAGCAGUGGGUGCUUGUAGGCUUUGUGCUUAACCAGCCUGAGGGCUGCACUGAAUACAUAUAAUUGUAUUAUGUUAUUGAAGUAUUAAAUGCUGAAGCUUGUAAUAAAUUUAGGAUUGCUAAUUAUUGUUACAUGUUUUCGGGUUUUGGUAGUAUGCGCAAACUACUAAACCAAUAUUAAAGGCAUUUUAAUAAAACGAAGGAGCGCUGAUGUUGCUCUGAUUCGUAAAACUUUGAAUAAA